AUUAAUCACUUACGGCUCUUACAACGAUUUCAACACCAAAGUGCACGUUGACGUCUUGAUUUUAUCGGUAUUGGACCUGAUUGCGUCGUUGAUGAGCGCCGUGACCAUCUUCUCUGUACUGGGCGCCAUGGCCUAUGAACUGGGCAUCGAUGACGUCAGCAAAGUCGUGGCGUCCGGUCCGGGCUUGGCAUUCGUCGCGUACCCUGAGGCGAUCGCCCGCACUUUGCCAGUACCCCACCUCUGGUGCUUUCUGUUCUUCUUCAUGGUCUU
rnacentral:lncRNA from 1 species